GGCAUGGAGCUGGUACAGCUGUCAUCACACCGAAGCCAACUUGAACAUAACUAAAAGCAUCAAGGGAAUUGUGCUGAUGCGUGAAAUUCCAGCUGAAAAAUUCCACUUUUGCAAGAAGCUCUUCAAGUGAGAGGCUUGUUCCAUCAGGCCUGGAAUACCAGCACUGAAUGAUGAAUGAUGACUCUCGAAGGGGCCUCUUAUCAGAAGCCCUGUGGACACCCAGGCCUGCUUGAUGACUAAUCCAUCCAGGACAGCUGGUAUCCCCAUUCUUUUUUUUUUUAAAAAUCUCCUGAUGUGGAGGAUCCAAAAUAUCAUAUCUCUUUUUACCGGUUGAACUCUCAGAGAGUAAGUUUUUUCCUUACUUCAAUUGACAGUUGUUCCCACUUUCUUAUUCCUCUGUGAGCGAGGGGGCUAUUCAUCAGCACUGUCUUAAGAAAAACACUCUUAUAUUUGACAUUAUUAAAAAGUUGUUGUGUAA